CCUACGGGCGGCAGCAGUGGGGAAUAUUGGGCAAUGGGCGCAAGCCUGACGCAGCAACGCCGCGUGAAGGAAGAAGGCUUUCGGGUUGUAAACUUCUUUUCUCAGGGACGAAGAAAGUGACGGUACCUGAGGAAUAAGCCACGGCUAACUACGUGCCAGCAGCCGCGGUACUACGUAGGUGGCAAGCGUUAUCCGGAUUUAUUGGGUGUAAAGGGCGUGUAGGCGGGAGCGCAAGUCAGAUGUGAAAACUCAGGGCUUAACCCUGGGCCUGCAUUUGAUACUGUGUUUCUUGAGUGCGGGAGAGGUAAGCGGAAUUCCGGGUGUAGCGGUGAAAUGCGUAGAUAUAAGGAGGAACACCAGUGGCGAAGGCGGAUUGCUGGACAGUAACUGACGCUGAGGCGCGAAAGCGUGGGGAGCAAACAGGAUUAGAUACCCGUGUAGUC
rnacentral:rRNA from 1 species